rnacentral:rRNA from 1 species
CACUAUCGUUAACUGAAUACAUAGGUUAACGAGGCGAACCGGGGGAACUGAAACAUCUAAGUACCCCGAGGAAAAGAAAUCAACCGAGAUUCCCCCAGUAGCGGCGAGCGAACGGGGAGCAGCCCAGAGUCUGAAUCAGCUUGUGUGUUAGUGGAACGGUCUGGAAAGUCCGACGGUACAGGGUGAUAGUCCCGUACACCAAAAUGCACAGGUUGUGAACUCGAAGAGUAGGGCGGGACACGUGGUAUCCUGUCUGAAUAUGGGGGGACCAUCCUCCAAGGCUAAAUACUCCUGACUGACCGAUAGUGAACCAGUACCGUGAGGGAAAGGCGAAAAGAACCCCGGCGAGGGGAGUGAAAAAGAACCUGAAACCGUGUACGUACAAGCAGUGGGAGCACCUUCGGGUGUGACUGCGUACCUUUUGUAUAAUGGGUCAGCGACUUAUAUUCUGUAGCAAGGUUAACCGUAUAGGGGAGCCGCAGGGAAACCGAGUCUUAACUGGGCGUUAAGUUGCAGGGUAUAGACCCGAAACCCGGUGAUCUAGCCAUGGGCAGGUUGAAGGUUGGGUAACACUAACUGGAGGACCGAACCGACUAAUGUUGAAAAAUUAGCGGAUGACUUGUGGCUGGGGGUGAAAGGCCAAUCAAACCGGGAGAUAGCUGGUUCUCCCCGAAAGCUAUUUAGGUAGCGCCUCGUGAACUCAUCUUCGGGGGUAGAGCACUGUUUCGGCUAGGGGGUCAUCCCGACUUACCAACCCGAUGCAAACUACGAAUACCGAAGAAUGUUAUCACGGGAGACACACGGCGGGUGCUAACGUCCGUCGUGAAGAGGGAAACAACCCAGACCGCCAGCUAAGGUCCCAAAGUCAUGGUUAAGUGGGAAACGAUGUGGGAAGGCACAGACAGCCAGGAUGUUGGCUUAGAAGCAGCCAUCAUUUAAAGAAAGCGUAAUAGCUCACUGGUCGAGUCGGCCUGCGCGGAAGAUGUAACGGGGCUAAACCAUGCACCGAAGCUGCGGCAGCGACACUAUGUGUUGUUGGGUAGGGGAGCGUUCUGUAAGCCUGCGAAGGUGUGCUGUGAGGCAUGCUGGAGGUAUCAGAAGUGCGAAUGCUGACAUAAGUAACGAUAAAGCGGGUGAAAAGCCCGCUCGCCGGAAGACCAAGGGUUCCUGUCCAACGUUAAUCGGGGCAGGGUGAGUCGACCCCUAAGGCGAGGCCGAAAGGCGUAGUCGAUGGGAAACAGGUUAAUAUUCCUGUACUUGGUGUUACUGCGAAGGGGGGACGGAGAAGGCUAUGUUAGCCGGGCGACGGUUGUCCCGGUUUAAGCAUGUAGGCUGAUUGUCCAGGCAAAUCCGGAUAAUCAAGGCUGAGGUGUGAUGACGAGGCACUACGGUGCUGAAGUAACAAAUGCCCUGCUUCCAGGAAAAGCCUCUAAGCAUCAGGUAACAUUAAAUCGUACCCCAAACCGACACAGGUGGUCAGGUAGAGAAUACCAAGGCGCUUGAGAGAACUCGGGUGAAGGAACUAGGCAAAAUGGUGCCGUAACUUCGGGAGAAGGCACGCUGGUGUGUAGGUGAAGUCCCUGCGGAUGGAGCUGAGACCAGUCGAAGAUACCAGCUGGCUGCAACUGUUUAUUAAAAACACAGCACUGUGCAAACACGAAAGUGGACGUAUACGGUGUGACGCCUGCCCGGUGCCGGAAGGUUAAUUGAUGGGGUUAUCCGUAAGGAGAAGCUCUUGAUCGAAGCCCCGGUAAACGGCGGCCGUAACUAUAACGGUCCUAAGGUAGCGAAAUUCCUUGUCGGGUAAGUUCCGACCUGCACGAAUGGCGUAAUGAUGGCCAGGCUGUCUCCACCCGAGACUCAGUGAAAUUGAACUCGCUGUGAAGAUGCAGUGUACCCGCGGCAAGACGGAAAGACCCCGUGAACCUUUACUAUAGCUUGACACUGAACAUUGAGCCUUGAUGUGUAGGAUAGGUGGGAGGCUUUGAAGCGUGGACGCCAGUCUGCGUGGAGCCAACCUUGAAAUACCACCCUUUAAUGUUUGAUGUUCUAACGUUGGCCCCUUACCGGGGUUGCGGACAGUGUCUGGUGGGUAGUUUGACUGGGGCGGUCUCCUCCCAAAGCGUAACGGAGGAGCACGAAGGUUAGCUAAUCCUGGUCGGACAUCAGGAGGUUAGUGCAAUGGCAUAAGCUAGCUUGACUGCGAGCGUGACGGCGCGAGCAGGUGCGAAAGCAGGUCAUAGUGAUCCGGUGGUUCUGAAUGGAAGGGCCAUCGCUCAACGGAUAAAAGGUACUCCGGGGAUAACAGGCUGAUACCGCCCAAGAGUUCAUAUCGACGGCGGUGUUUGGCACCUCGAUGUCGGCUCAUCACAUCCUGGGGCUGAAGUAGGUCCCAAGGGUAUGGCUGUUCGCCAUUUAAAGUGGUACGCGAGCUGGGUUUAGAACGUCGUGAGACAGUUCGGUCCCUAUCUGCCGUGGGCGCUGGAGAAUUGAGGGGGGCUGCUCCUAGUACGAGAGGACCGGAGUGGACGCAUCACUGGUGUUCGGGUUGUCAUGCCAAUGGCACUGCCCGGUAGCUAAAUGCGGAAGAGAUAAGUGCUGAAAGCAUCUAAGCACGAAACUUGCCCCGAGAUGAGUUCUCCCUGAGACUUUAAGUCUCCUGAAGGAACGUUGAAGACGACGACGUUGAUAGGCCGGGUGUGUAAGCGCAGCGAUGCGUUGAGCUAACCGGUACUAAUGAACCGUGAGGCUUAACCUU